rnacentral:rRNA from 1 species
AUUGAACGCUGGCGGCAUGCCUUACACAUGCAAGUCGAACGGUAACAGGUCUUCGGAUGCUGACGAGUGGCGAACGGGUGAGUAAUACAUCGGAACGUGCCCGAUCGUGGGGGAUAACGCAGCGAAAGCUGUGCUAAUACCGCAUACGAUCUACGGAUGAAAGCGGGGGAUCGCAAGACCUCGCGCGGACGGAGCGGCCGAUGGCAGAUUAGGUAGUUGGUGGGAUAAAAGCUUACCAAGCCGACGAUCUGUAGCUGGUCUGAGAGGACGACCAGCCACACUGGGACUGAGACACGGCCCAGACUCCUACGGGAGGCAGCAGUGGGGAAUUUUGGACAAUGGGGGAAACCCUGAUCCAGCCAUGCCGCGUGCAGGAUGAAGGCC